rfam:Brachypodium distachyon strain Bd21 chromosome 2, whole genome shotgun sequence.
CUUAUACUCCCUCCGUCCCAUAUUAAGUGACUCAAAUUUGCCCAAAUAUGAAUGUAUCUGUACCCAAAAAGCGUCUAGAUACAUGUAAUAUUUCGUCACUUAAUAUGGGACGGAGGAAGUAUUAG